CAAACCUGAGCAGCACUGUGACCCCCGGGAGUCACAACACCCAGAGUGGGGAGCCGAGCCCAGCCAGCCCCAGGACAGAAGCCGCGGACGCUGCUGCUCUGAUCACACUCAGUGUCCCCGCUGGCAUCGACUCGCUGCAGGGCUUGGAGCAGCUGGGAUCCUCAUCCUGCUGGGAGCUGUGAUAGCCAUGGGCGUUUGGGUUUUUCAGACCAAAGGAUCUCUGAAUUCACUGGAGAACAAUAGUACCCGGGAGACACUCAUCCAUCAAUCCAACUGCAGCACUGGCCUAAAAGAUUUCCAUUUCCACUUGAAACAAUUUGUGUGUGAAUCAUCUCAC